rnacentral:rRNA from 1 species
AUUGAACGCUGGCGGCAUGCUUAACACAUGCAAGUUGAACGGCAGCACAGCUUUAGGCGUAAGCUCGGAGUGGGUGGCGAGUGGCGGACGGGUGAGUAAAGUGCAGGAAUGUACCCUGAAGAGUGGGAUAACUUAGGGAAACUUAAGCUAAUACCGCAUAAUCUCUGAGGAGGAAAGCUGGGGAUCGAAAGACCUAGCGUUUUAGGAGCAGCCUGUACUCGAUUAGCUAGUUGGUGAGGUAAGAGCUUACCGAGGCGAUGAUCGAUAGCUGGUCUGAGAGGACGGCCAGCCACACUGGGGCUGAGACACGGCCCAGACUCCUACGGGAGGCAGCAGUGGGGAAUAUUGGACAAUGGGGGCAACCCUGAUCCAGCAAUGCCGCGUGUGUGAAGAAGGCCUGAGGGUUGUAAAGCACUUUAGUAGGGGAGGAGGGUAUGAAGGUUAAGAGCUGUCAUACUGGACGUUACCCUAAGAAUAAGCACCGGCUAACUCCGUGCCAGCAGCCGCCGUAAUAC